rnacentral:misc_RNA from 1 species
AUGUUAUUGAGCUUAACCUACAAAAAUUACAUUUCAAAUUUAUAUGAUAGCUCAACAGAUUAUAAGAAUCACAAACUUCAAUCCGUUAUAGUGAAUUAGUUCGGUUUGAUUGACAUUUUACAUGAACUUAGUCUUUCAAUUUUUCAAUUUCAAUUCGGUUCGGAGCCGAACCGACCAUUUGCUCACCACUAUAAGAGAAUUACAACAAUAAUAAACAUGAGAAGAAGACCACAACCAUCCAUUUUACUCUGUUUUCUUGGCAAUAUUAACAUGGGAAAAAUGAUAGCUAGGUUUGUACAUUCUAUACGUGUUUGCAAUAUUUCCAACAAGAGAUAACGCAAGGUACCAAUCAAGGUGAUCUGGGGAAAAAAAUUAGAAUAGAGUGCUCUGCCAAGACAAUCCCGCCAAUGUUGCAUGUGGACAAUUGAAAUGGUAAAACCAAAAUUGUGAAACCUUGCUGGUUCAACCGGAAAAAUGAGGAACCUGACCUAUGGCUGUCCCAAGUUACCCUUAAAACCUAGAAAUUAUGAAAUGCAAUCAAAACCUAAUGACCUAAUUGGAUAGCCAAUGACCCAACAUGGAUUACAUA